AUUGAACGCUGGCGGCGUGCUUAACACAUGCAAGUCGAUCGGUAACAGGUGUAGCAAUACAUGCUGACGAGAGGCGGACGGGUGAGUAAUGCUUGGGAAUCUGCCUAUUAGUGGGGGACAACCCGGGGAAACUCGGGCUAAUACCGCAUACGCUCUACGGAGGAAAGCCGGGGACCGCAAGGCCUGGCGCUAAUAGAUGAGCCCAAGUCGGAUUAGCUAGUUGGUAGGGAACGGCCUACCAAGGCGACAAUCCGUAGCUGGUCUGAGAGGACGACCAGCCACACCGGAACUGAGACACGGUCCGGACUCCUACGGGAGGCAGCAGUGGGGAAUAUUGGACAAUGGGGCAACCCUGAUCCAGCGACGCCGCGUGGGUGAAGAAGGCC
rnacentral:rRNA from 1 species